rnacentral:rRNA from 1 species
UACGUAGGGUGCGAGCGUUGUCCGGAAUUAUUGGGCGUAAAGAGCUCGUAGGCGGUUUGUCACGUCUGCUGUGAAAUCCCGAGGCUCAACCUCGGGCCUGCAGUGGGUACGGGCAGACUGGAGUGCGGUAGGGGAGAAUGGAAUUCCUGGUGUAGCGGUGAAAUGCGCAGAUAUCAGGAGGAACACCGGUGGCGAAGGCGGGUCCCUGGGCCGAAACUGACGCUGAGGAGCGAAAGCGUGGGGAGCAAACAGG